rnacentral:misc_RNA from 1 species
GAUGAAGAACGUAGCGAAAUGCGAUAAGUAGUGUGAAUUGCAGAAUUCAGUGAAUCAUCGAAUCUUUGAACGCUCAUUGCGGCCCUUGGUAUUCCAUGGGGCAUGCCUGUUCGAGCGUCAUCUACACCCUCAAGCUCUGCUUGGUGUUGGGCGUCUGUCCCGCCCCCGCGCGUGGACUCGCCCCAAAUCCAUUGGCAGCGUUCCUUGCCCCCUCUCGCGCAGCACAUUGCGCUUCUCGAGGGCGGCUCCGGGACGCGAUCCAGCAAGAUGACCACCGUCUUUGACCUCGGAUCAGGUAGGGAUACCCGCUGAACUUAAGCAUAUCAAUAAGCGGAGGA